rnacentral:sRNA from 1 species
CUCAGGGAUAUGUCACAUUAUGCCGAGACCGGGUUCAUGCACUGAUUGAUUUGACAGGUGAACUGCUCCAUGUUGUGGGACCAGGGAUGUGAACCAAGUACAUCAACCUUGAAACGCGUGCAGUUGGUUUGGGACAGCCGGCCUGAGGAAGCCCCCGUCCCAAGGCUGCCCACAGAUGGAAGGAUUGUGUGUGUGUGUGCCAUCUUGACAGAGUGAGUCAGUCUGACUUGCCUUUGUGCUUGUCGUUUGUAGGUAUCAGUGCUUCAAAUCGGCCUGGAUGUUUGAGGUGUUUCAUAGGGGCUUUUCGUUUCCUUUCAACUAUAAAAGCUUAAAGACUGCCUUGCAAGUUUACGACAAGGAGGUUCAGUGGACCCUUGGAGCCAUCCUCUACAGGACCCGCUUUCUACCAUUAAGAGACAUCCAGCAGGAGGCCUUCCGAGCCAGUCACACCCACUGGCGGGGCGUUUCCUUUGUCUACAACCACUACCUGUUCUCUGGCUGCUUCCUGGUGGUGCUGCUGGCCAUCCUGCUGUACCUGCUGCGGCUGCGGCGCAUCCACAGGCGCACUCCCCGGAGCAGCUCCGCCGCCGCCCUCUGGAUGGAGGAGGGCCUUCCCGCCCAGAACGCCCCGGGGACCUUGUGAUCGCUCCACAAAGACUCGACUUGCCAUUUUUGCCUCAGGGUUUCUCCUCUUUAUUAUCCUGUGGUUUUGUUUUUUCUUUCCCUUUUUUGUUCCUCCAAACAAAAACAAAAUGCAGGCCGGGCGUGGUGGCUCACGCCUGUAAUCCCAGCACUUUGGGAGGCCGAGGCAGGCGGAUCACGAGGUCAGGAGAUCGAGACCAUCCUGGCUAACACGGUGAAACCCCGUCUCUACUAAAGAUACAAAAAAUUAGCCGGGUGUGGUGGCGG